rnacentral:lncRNA from 1 species
CGUACCUUCGUACUCCGCCUCUUUAUCUAACGCCCCCACGGCCUCUCCUCCUCCUCCUCCUCCGUCGCCGCCGCCUUCAUCGCCGUCACGCGUCAAUGAGAAAUCAAACGGACCUGAGAGGCCUCGAUUCUUCGAUGGAAAGGCGAAGAACAAGUGCUGGUCAAACGCUGACGUCGUCCCGGGUCGACCUCCCGAGAGGUGGCGUAAAGACGCCGCCGGAAACGUCGUCUGCAAGAGAUUCGGAAACUGCGGCGGAUGUCUCUGUUUCGAGUACGAUCACAUUGUUCCUUACUCCAAAGGUUUCGAUUCUCCCAACCUCUCUCUCUAGGGUCUAAAGGUUUAGUCUUUGAUAGUUGAUUAUGUGUUUGUAAGGUGGAGAAUCGACGGCGGAGAAUUGUCAGAUUCUUCAAACUAGAGUGAACAGAUUCAAAGCAGCUCAGGAGAAUGUGGAUGCUGAGACACUUAAGGGAUAUUCAUGUGGCUUGCAGUUCACAGGUAUGUUUACAUGUCAAUGUGUUGUUUAAACAGUGUACAUUGAGUUUAUGUAGGAGAUAUCAUCAUUGUUAAAGCUUGAAUGUGUAUCUUCUUAUCAUGAAGAGUGUAGUACUCUGCUCUAAAUGGUAUUUUACUCGUAAAGUGUUUUGUUUCCUUAGAGGUUAUGUAUACAUGUGGGAGCUGCUUUUGCUUUUGAUCUUCUUUCUCUUUUCUCUGUUGGUUUUAUCAUAUAUCAAGAAUUUGCACUUGAGCUACUUGCAGUCUUGUUAAAGCGCAAAAGUGACUUCAGUGAGUUGUUCUGGAUCUUGCUAGUUUACAUUUUAUAUGAGUGAAGCAAAGUGUAAAUGCUCUUGGGAAAUGGAUGUUCUUUCCAAAAAGACGCAAAAGAUUAUAGAUAUGCUGGCAUCCUUUCUGUUCUUACACUCACAAGUGGAUUCAAGUGUGUAUUUUCUGCGUAUUUAUGCUUAUCACUUUCUUAAGAUUUCUUCUAUUGUAAACAUACAGACAAGGAGCUUGAUGUUAUUGAAAUGGCGGUUUACGGAGACGUGUUACGACCUGGAAAAGAAUGUCGCUGCAAAACUGUAGCCGAGCUGCUUGGUCAGUACAAGGCCAAAGAUGGUAAAGCCGCGUGCGAGUUACCAUCAUAAUAAUAAAGUAAUCAACCAUCUCUUUCUAAAACUCCGCCUCUUUAUCUAACGCCACCACGGCCUCUCCUCCUCCUCCUCCUCCGUCGCCGCCGCCUUCAUCGCCGUCACGCGUCAAUGAGAAAUCAAACGGACCUGAGAGGCCUCGAUUCUUCGAUGGAAAGGCGAAGAACAAGUGCUGGUCAAACGCUGACGUCGUCCCCGGUCGACAUCCCGAGAGGUGGCGUAAAGACGCCGCCGGAAACGUCGUCUGCAAGAGAUUCGGAAACUGCGGCGGAUGUCUCUGUUUCGAGUACGAUCACAUUGUUCCUUACUCCAA